rnacentral:lncRNA from 1 species
AUGCAGAAGGAAUGCCCUGACUUUAAGGAGUGGCUGGCUAAGAAAGGGAUUCCUUUCAAUCCGGAAGCUGGAAAGAAACCAAAGAACGCUUAAGGUUGGGGAUGAUCGAGAAUUAGAAGUGAAGGCCAUUGGAACAUUACAAUUAGUUAUGAAAACUGGUUUAUGUAUUAAACUUUAUGAUACCUUAUAUGUUCCUGAGGUAACUCGGAACCUUGUAUCAGGACCAAAGUUAGACAUGGACGGUUUUAUUGUUUCCCAUGGUC